rnacentral:tRNA from 1 species
GCAACAGACUUGGCCGAAUGGUUACACUGUCCGCUUUGUAAGCGGAAUAUCAUGGAUUCGAUUCCCAUCUGCUCCA